rnacentral:rRNA from 1 species
GGCCAGACUCCUACGGGAGGCAGCAGUGGGGGAUAUUGCACAAUGGGGGGAACCCUGAUGCAGCGACGCCGCGUGGGUGAAGAAGCGCCUCGGCGCGUAAAGCCCUGUCAGCAGGGAAGAAAAUGACGGUACCUGAAGAAGAAGCCCCGGCUAACUACGUGCCAGCAGCCGCGGUAAUACGUAGGGGGCAAGCGUUAUCCGGAUUUACUGGGUGUAAAGGGGGCGCAGACGGCGGUGCAAGCCAGGAGUGAAAGCCCGGGGCCCAACCCCGGGACUGCUCUUGGAACUGCGUGGCUGGAGUGCAGGAGGGGCAGGCGGAAUUCCUGGUGUAGCGGUGAAAUGCGUAGAUAUUAGGAGGAACACCAGUGGCGAAGGCGGCUUACUGGACUGUACCUGACGCUGAGGCGCGAAAGCGUGGGUAGCGAACGGGAUUAGAUACCCCAGUAC